CCUACGGGUGGCAGCAGUGGGGAGUAUUGCACAAUGGGCGCAAGCCUGAUGCAGCCAUGCCGCGUGUGUGAAGAAGGCCUUCGGGUUGUAAAGCACUUUCAGCGGGGAGGAAGGCGUUAAGGUUAAUAACCUUGUCGAUUGACGUUACCCGCAGAAGAAGCACCGGCUAACUCCGUGCCAGCAGCCGCGGUAAUACGGAGGGUGCAAGCGUUAAUCGGAAUUACUGGGCGUAAAGCGCACGCAGGCGGUCUGUCAAGUCGGAUGUGAAAUCCCCGGGCUCAACCUGGGAACUGCAUUCGAAACUGGCAGGCUAGAGUCUUGUAGAGGGGGGUAGAAUUCCAGGUGUAGCGGUGAAAUGCGUAGAGAUCUGGAGGAAUACCGGUGGCGAAGGCGGCCCCCUGGACAAAGACUGACGCUCAGGUGCGAAAGCGUGGGGAGCAAACAGGAUUAGAUACCCGAGUAGUC
rnacentral:rRNA from 1 species